rnacentral:piRNA from 1 species
UACCACUCAGUGAUGGAGGGAGACUGUGC